CAACUAGUAUUCCUGAGCUGUACACUGGAUUGAUCAUUAAUGAGGUAUUAAAUGGUGCAGCAGGCACGUGAUAUUGGAAAAUCUUAUCAGAGUAAUUCCUGUUUAUUGUCCUUAAGCGGAGCCAAAAAUACCACAAAGCCCCAUUUAACUCGCGUUUCCAAAGAUCAUCAAAGUUCAUCAGCUUUUGUCGUUCUCCUCGCGUACCGAGUGCCAAAGCUACUUCGGUUUUCUAGAAAGUAGUACUUUGUAAUUACAUGUUCCUCUGAAAAAUGCAGAAUUUCAGAUGCACUGAAAGGAGAAAGCAACUAAACUACGCUCCUUGCCUGAAAACGACCAGGGAACUACGAAGUUAAAAACGCGAGCGAGGUAGGUUAGAGGUGCAAGAUGUUUUCACCAGCUGCGAAACUCGGCCACCACCGACCAGACGACCAGGGGCUCGCUGCGGGAGGUGGCUUUCCUAACUGACCAGUCCUCAGCCGCUACGAAAUAAAGAGGCGAGGGGAGGCCGGGGCAGCCGCCGGCACGCAAACCUUCCAGCCAGCUCCCGGCGGCGGGUGGCAACCAGCUCCGCGGGUCCGGCCGGCCUCCCGCCCCCCGGCCGGGGCUCCGUGCGCCGGGGGGGUGGGGUACAGAGAACCGCGGGAGGCGAAGUCGACUGAUACUAGCGGUAAUUUUUAUGCGGUGGUUUUAGUGCUAUUAGUAGUAUUUGAGCCGGGAUUUCUGCCUUCUGAGCAAUACUGACAAAAUCUUGAUUCAGCAUUAUGACUGUGCACUUUUCUUCCGGAAUAAGGAAUUAUUAAGAACAUAGCAAAACGGUAGUUCUCUAUAUUCAACACAUUUCUCCAGGCAGAGAACGACUUUGGAUCUAUCUAGCCCAGACCUCCUUCGAGCAUAACUCGGCAGUAGUCUUUACAUGCUGUUUGGAUGACUCACAUGCACAUAGUCUAAGAACAACCCAUCCAGAACUCUUUGAACAAGAACUUUUCCAACAGUGUUUAUGUCCUGAAAGAAAAUAUUUUAUUGACUUUCAAGAUAGUAAUUAAUGUGUUAAUAGAUUUAAUUUUGACUGUUUGGGUUACUAGUUAACAAAAUACUGGUUUCAGUGGGUUUACAUCCAUGUUUAAAGUUUAGUGCCUAACUUUCUACUCUUUAGUGGUAAACACUGUGACAUAAAGCAAGAGAAAUCAUUAUGAAACUUGAAAUAAAUGAGAAUGUCAAAUGCAGAAACAAAUCCAGUGAUUAUGCAAAACCCAACAAUGCUAAUGCUAUUUAUUAGAGUCCAGUUUGGUGAUGUAUGUGGUACUGUGUAUAGAAAUAGUCAAGUCUUAGCUAUACUUUAUGAAGCUGUAUAUGUGUGAGCUAUCAUUAAAAUGCUAUCAUACAUAGGUCUAUUCCUGCUAUGUGCAUGCAUUAUAGGUUCAAAUUAUUAAGAUGGUUCUUCACUCCUGCCCUCCAUUUGGAUGUAAUUUUCUUUAGUGCUUUUGCCUCAUUAAAAAAAAAAAAAAAUCUUUCUUUUUUUUCUGGAUGAGUAUUAAACAUAAAUAUAGGAAAGCAUUAACUGAUAUUCUUGAGAAAUUCAAAUAGCAUGUGUUGUGCUGCAUUUUUUAUUUCACAGCCCACUCAGACAGCAAACAGCUGCAGCACCUUUCAGAAGUACAACUGUGUCAUAUUAGGUUCUUAUAGAAUAAAAAUGGCUUGUGGAAACAACUUUCAUUUAAAGUACAUAGGUUUACAUUUGAGGAUCUCCAGGUCAUUUAUAAACAUGAGUCAGAUGCCUAAUACCUGUUAAGAAAUGAGGUAACAGAGUGGCUUUCCCUUGUCCCACCAUUAGACAACAACAGAACUGAGGACAGAAUCCGUAAAUUGGCACCUUUGAGUACCAGACUAUGCUGCUUCUGUACACACCUGCCACACUUCCUGACUUUGUGGUGCAGUUCUUUGCUCAGUUCUUCUCAUGAAUUCUUGAUUAUAAAAAGUGUAAAAGAAGACACACAUAAAGAAAUCAAGUCCAGUGGUUUGCAAAUACCAUUAUUCACUAUGUAGUCUUCAUAAUGGAGUGUAAGUCCAAGUUGAAGAAGGCUUAUAAAAUUUCUGCUGAAAUAGCUCGGAUCUCUCCCAGGUGUUAAUCAACAAAUUGGACAACACUGUAAAUAAAUGGAAGGGAGUAUUCAGUUUUCAUCUUGGAGGUCUUACAGAAGAAAUAUUAUCAGUGUUUAAAAAAACCCAGACAUGUGAAAUAAGUGUAUCUGUUAUGGUCAAAUGGCAUCUUGGAGCAAGACAAAUACUGCUAGGUACAGUGCACUUUCAGAUCAACUGUCAAUUAUGCUAAUCCCUACUGUGUAAUUCAUGUCUGCAGACAUCCCAAGGACUGUCAACCUAUCUAGAUCUGAUGAUUAAUAUAUUCCCUUCUACUAGUUACAAGAGAACAGUGAUGCAAAAGCAUUUGUUUCAUCCAAUACGAAAUUUGUUUAUCAUCCAAACAACUUGUGUAUCCAUUUGUUUAACAUUCAAACAAAUUAAUAACAAAUAAUCCAUUUGUUUACCAUCCAAGCCACUGUUUGGAAGAUAAAGUGCUACAAGAAACAUACAGGCUUUCUCUGGUCAUCAAUAACAAAUUAAUUCAUCUGUGUGCCUACAACAGAAGUGCUUAAAACACUUCAUCAAAAGAAAAACUGAAUUACUUGCUGUGGGUUCUCUGUAAUAUAAAAGUUGAAGUUGCUGCAACAUUUAUUUCUUCAAGCAGUAUGAUGAGAACACUGUGUGUAUGCUAAAAAGAUGAUUAUCAUGGAAUAUACCAUGUGUGAAUAUACUACGUGU